rnacentral:tRNA from 1 species
UGGGGAGUCAUCCAAUGGCAGGAUAACCGGCUUUGAAUCGGUUUAUGGAGGUUCGAAUCCUCUCUCCCCAACCA